rnacentral:rRNA from 1 species
UACAGAGGUCCCGAGCGUUGUUCGGAUUCAUUGGGCGUAAAGGGUGCGUAGGCGGCGGGGCAAGUCUGAUGUGAAAUCCUGGGGCUCAACCCUGGAACUGCAUUGGAUACUGCCUUGCUAGAGUACUGGAGAGGAAACUGGAAUUUACGGUGUAGCAGUGAAAUGCGUAGAGAUCGUAAGGAAGACCAGUGGCGAAGGCGAGUUUCUGGACGGUAACUGACGCUGAGGCACGAAGGCCAGGGGAGCAAACGGG